CUGUUUAUUUGUCUUACGCUCCCCUCUUGUCCUGCCCUCCCAACUUGUUCUGUGGUUUCUAAUGGCUCCCGGCCCAGGAGCAGAAGGAAAAGCCAGGAGGAGGAAGGGAGAAAGUAAGGAUGCCCUUCAAAGGCCAAACACGACCAGCUUUUGGAAAAAGGAUUAAAUGACAAGCCCAUGGAAAGCAAUCCAAAGUACAGUUUAGAAGCAAACCUUUGAGGGAGUUAAACCUUUGGAGCGUCAAUGGAAAAGCACACCUUCCACCAAACCACAAAACCCGGGACGCCCAUCGGAUGGAACUGCAGCACCUGAUGAGGUAUUACAUCAUAUCAUGGGGCUACAGAGCUCCCAUCUCAUGCGGUCGGGGUUAGGGUGAUGUACCCACCAUGGCCUCCUCCUCCUCCUCCUCCCUCUCCUUCCUUCAUCCCUGGCCUGUGCCAGCUGGAUCAGGUCCCCAUGUCCUCGCCCAGGGAGACCUAUCGGCUGCUCUCUCUCCGCAAGCGAUGAGGCAAUCAAGCUCUCCUCUGUGAGAAGAUCCACAUGAACCUCCAGGGUCGGUAGCAGUCUAUCCUUCAAGACCACGUUCUGGGGAGCCCAAGAGGAAAGAGGGGAGCAUGGAGGGAGGGGUCUUUCCCCGAGGCAGGCGGUGGGGCAGGGAGGAGCCCGUUGCCAGGAUACACAGGACAGUUGACGUUCCAAAGGGGGGGGGUCUUGGUGGAAUGUCCACCUCUGGGCUCAAUGGUCAGUUGGCCAGUUGACCGUUGGAGCCUCCUCUGGACGGUGGUGUGAAGGGGAUGCUCUGUGGGCCACGCCCCUGUUUUAGCGUUUUGCCAGACAGUUAUCAGCCCCUAAGCAUGUUUUCGAGUGUGAGUAUUUCCAUGGGCCUGUGUGAGAAGGAUGUCAUGGGUUUCUCCCUCCGGGGACCCUAAAACUCUUUUCUGGCUCAGCCACCAAGAUUAUUCAGACCCCUCUCUGAAAGAGAUGAAGGAGUUAAUCAGCGAAGACCCCCGCACCCCUCUUGGGGCAGUGACCAGAAUCCCUUCACGGAGAAGAUGGGUCUGGGUUCUGAGGGGAUGCCCCAGGGGGCCGAGACGGCAGCGGACCUCUCAGGGGAAGCGGGGGACCCUAAUUGGGAGGCGGCAGAAGGAGGCGGAGGCGUCCCCAAAAAGCCCAUUGGGGAUACUCGUCAAAGAUGAUGGCGAGCAAAGCCUGGACUGGAGGAAGGACAUUAAAUGGACGAAGAUCGAGAUCACCAUCAUCCUCGUCAAGAGAGAAGACAUCCUCCCUUCGUUGGCCCGAUCCUGAGACAUCCACCUGCGUCUUCUGUCUCUCGAAGCCCUGGGGUGAAACUUCGCCCCCCCCAAUGGAAGACCCUUAUUUUCCCAGGAUGGUCGAUUUUGAAGAACAAUGCCCCCGGGAGGAGUCAGUGGGAGGCUUGUCUGGGCUGGGAGUUCAGACAGUCAUGGUCAAGACCACCAAGGAAACUUCUAAGGUGGCUUGAGUGGAAAGCAUCUUGUCACCCCAAAUCUGAGUGAGGGGCUUGGUUCUGCCCCAGACAGGGUUUGUGUGUGUGUGUGUUUUAUAGAAAGAAAAUUAUUCAUGGCAACAAGAGGAAACGAGGAGACUUCGUUAACCGCUGUAACAUCCCAACGUCUGAGGUGGACUACACGGCAUGGUCAUCUUACGAACAAAUGGCACCAUCAAAACUGCAUGUUGGCCGCUGACUUGCCUUGCUUGCCUCUGUGAGGACUAGAAGCUUUUUAUUUGCUCGGAUAUUUUAAAUUUCCAUUGGCGCUUUGGACUGGCCCACAUAGUUUUUAUACCUCUCCGUGUUACUGUAAGCGAUAGAUCUUUUCGGUUUUGUAGCUCAACUGAAUAUACCACACUGUUGUAUAUGUGGUCUUUAAAAUCCUCUUGUUCAUGAAAGCCCCUUCUGUUAUUUUUUAAAAUAACAUUGGUAAUGGCACAGCUAAAAACUCUUGUAAACAAACAAACAAACAAACAAACAAACAAACAAACAAAUAAAUAAAUAAAUAAAACAGUCUCUUCA
ensembl:lncRNA